ACCAGACCUCUCUCCCAAUCCCGAACUACCUGUUGGCACCCCUCCCUGGCUCCCUCCCAUGAGUCCGCGACCACCCAACGGCGGCCCAUCUCUCCCACAGCAACCAACGCACCGGCCACCCAUCCAUCUCCUCCUCCUCUCACUCACGCCGGCAAAGGGGGGCCAGCCGCCGCCACCCCAAAACGUUGUGUAUGAGCAGGCACAGCACCGCCGCCUCCCUAGGUCGCGACGUGUAGCGGUUCGGCUACCCCGACACAGCCGCCGGCUGGCCCAACGAGGAGGACGCUUUGAAUCUGGGACCUGCAGUAUUGGAUAGAGGAAAGUUACAUCUACAGUUGGUCCGCGAGCAUGGCGAGCCGACAGCGACGAUGAAAUAAUGCAUUGGCCCAUUGCCUGAUGAAGAAGAUGAGAGAAGUGAAGAUUAUGUACGAUGAAAUAUUACAGAUCAGGCUUGGCACCUUAGCAUAUAUCCAAGGUCCAAACUCGGAUGGUACACAAGGAUUUCUGUAUGCGGAGGUUAGCUUCAGCAGAACAAUUAUAUUGAUGACGACGAUGAUGAGCUGGAGAAGAGAUGCACAGCUCCAUUUUGAUGACUCCAUCACCAGGGAGCUCUUGGUUGCACUGCAAUCAGGGAGGCCUUGUCAACUCGCUGAUGCCACUUAACCUCUAUGGUCUCUCAUUGCUCAAGAUGGAUAGUUUUGUGCAGGUUUGGCCUCAACCACUUCUUCCUGUCCUACUGCUACAUUUGGACCAUGACACUCAGUUCUAGCAAAACUAUUGUAAAGUUGCAGGCCAGACCUGUGAAAUCCGAGGCUUGUCACA